GUGCCAGCAGCCGCGGUAAUACAGAGGGUGCGAGCGUUAAUCGGAAUUACUGGGCGUAAAGCGCACGUAGUCGGCUUGUCAAGUCGGGUGUGAAAUCCCCGGGCUCAACCUGGGAACUGCAUCCGAGACUGACUUGCUAGAGUAUGGGAGAGGGAAGCGGAAUUUCUGGUGUAGCAGUGAAAUGCGUAGAUAUCAGAAGGAACAUCAGUGGCGAAGGCGGCUUCCUGGACCAAUACUGACGAUCAGGUGCGAAAGCGUGGGGAGCAAACAGGAUUAGAAACCCGAGUAGUCC
rnacentral:rRNA from 1 species